UACGCAGGCGGCUCGUUAAGUCGGGUGUGAAAGCCCGGGGCUCAACCCCGGAAUUGCGCUCGAUACUGGCGGGCUUGAGUACGGGAGAGGGAUAGCGGAAUUCCUGGUGUAGAGGUGAAAUUCGUAGAUAUCAGGAGGAACACCAGUGGCGAAAGCGGCUUCCUGGCCCGAUACUGACGCUCAUGUACGAAAGCGUGGGGAGGCAAAACA
rnacentral:rRNA from 1 species